rnacentral:rRNA from 1 species
GAUGAACGCUGGCGGCGUGCCUAAUACAUGCAAGUCGAGCGAACAGACGAGGAGCUUGCUCCUCUGACGUUAGCGGCGGACAGGUGAGUAACACGUGGAUAACCUACCUAUAAGACUGGGAUAACUUCGGGAAACCGGAGCUAAUACCGGAUAAUAUAUUGAACCGCAUGGUUCAAUAGUGAAAGACGGUUUUGCUGUCACUUAUAGAUGGAUCCGCGCCGCAUUAGCUAGUUGGUAAGGUAACGGCUUACCAAGGCAACGAUGCGUAGCCGACCUGAGAGGGUGGUCGGCCACCCGGGAACGGGAACACGGUCCAGACUCCUGCGGGAGGCAGCAGUAGGGAAUCUUCCGCAAUGGGCGAAAGCCUGACGGAGCAACGCCGCGUGAGUGAUGAAGGUCUUCGGAUCGUAAAACUCUGUUAUUAGGGAAGAACAAAUGUGUAAGUAACUAUGCACGUCUUGACGGUACCUAAUCAGAAAGCCACGGCUAACUACGUG